rnacentral:rRNA from 1 species
GCCCCUACGGGGCGCAGCAGUGGGGGAUAUUGCACAAUGGGGGAAACCCUGAUGCAGCGACGCCGCGUGAGUGAAGAAGUAUUUCGGUACGUAAAGCUCUAUCAGCAGGGAAGAAUAAUGACGGUACCUGACUAAGAAGCCCCGGCUAACUACGUGCCAGCAGCCGCGGUAAUACGUAGGGGGCAAGCGUUAUCCGGAUUUACUGGGUGUAAAGGGAGCGUAGACGGUAUGGCAAGUCUGAUGUGAAAGCCCAGGGCUUAACCCUG